AUACGGAGGAUGCAAGCGUUAUCCGGAUUUAUUGGGUUUAAAGGGUGCGCAGGCGGAAAAUUAAGUCAGUGGUGAAAUCCUACAGCUUAACUGUAGAACUGCCAUUGAUACUGAUUUUCUUGAGUGCGGUUGAGGUAGGCGGAAUGUGUAAUGUAGCAGUGAAAUGCUUAGAUAUUACACAGAACACCGAUUGCGUAGGCAGCUUACUAAACCGUUACUGACGCUCAGGCACGAAAGCGUGGGGAGCGAACAGGAUUAGAAACCCCAGUAGUCC
rnacentral:rRNA from 1 species